ACAAUCUGAGCCACCCUGCAGGCCAAUGGGACAACUGUCCACAAGCCCCCUAAGUCUAACUUUGUCAGGCAGGGCAGAUAGAGGAAGAGGAAGAGGGGGAGGAGGAAGGAGAGGAGGAGAGAGGAGAGACUUAGGAUUGAGGAGACUGGUUUUCCAGGAAGAGGAAAGUGCUUGUUUGGAUGCAGUCCGACCUGAGUGUCCACAGGAGAAGGGAGACGCCGAGCAACAAGUUUCUAAGGCCACAGGCUCUCUGCUCCCAAAUCGUCUGUGAUCAAAACACGAAGCAAAAACCAUCCUCAAACCCAGCUUUAUUUGAUGCUUUCUCGUCAGUGCAGUCCUCUACAGAGGUACAGGUGCGGUCCGGCUGCUGCCCACAGCCGAGGAAGGCCCCACACACUAGAACCAGUAACUGGGCCAGGCUACCUUGUUCCUCUUGUCUGGGAAAGGCAAAGAAUUCCUGCCAAAAUCCCCGUCCCCUUCUCUUAAAAAUCCCCAAGCCUGGUUGCGGUUCUGGUAAAAUAAUUUUUUUCACUUUCACUCGGAGGCCAUUUAAUGAAUAUACUGUACGUGAGGCUCUAGGACAUACCUGCUACAUACUUGUUCAUUUCUGCACUGCGGUAAAUCAGAAACAUCUUUCAAGGAAGCUUGUUGGAAUGCAAAUAAGCAUAUUUGUGUUUAAACAGAAGAAGGCAGAGUCUGUUACCAGAAUCCCACUCAGCAGCACAGGCUUGUA